GAUGGUGUAGCUCAGUGGCAGAGCACGUGCUUAGCAAGCACAAGAUCCUGGGUUCAUUCCCCAGUACCUCCA
rnacentral:tRNA from 1 species